AGAUUGAACGCUGGCGGCAUGCCUAACACAUGCAAGUCGAACGGGAGUAGCAAUACUCUAGUGGCGGACGGGUGAGGAAUACGUAGGAAUUUGCCCUUAAGUGGGGGAUAACCCGGGGAAACCCGGAUUAAUACCGCAUGACCUCGAAAGAGCAAAGUGGGGGAUCGCAAGACCUCACGCUUUUGGAGAAGCCUACGUCGGAUUAGCUAGUUGGUGAGGUAAUGGCUCACCAAGGCGACGAUCCGUAACUGGUCUGAGAGGAUGAUCAGUCACACCGGAACUGAGACACGGUCCGGACUCCUACGGGAGGCAGCAGGUGGGGAAUAUUGGACAAGUGGGCGCAAGCCUGAUCCAGCAAUGCCGCGUGUG
rnacentral:rRNA from 1 species